UUUCCGUAGGUGAACCUGCGGAAGGAUCAUUACAGAGUUCAUGCCCUCACGGGUAGAUCUCCCACCCUUGACUAUUUAUACCUUAGUUGCUUUGGCAGGCCGUGGAAACACCAUGGGCUCCGGCUUAUGCGUGCCUGCCAGAGGAAACAAACUCUGUUUUUAGUGAUGUCUGAGUACUAUAUAAUAGUUAAAACUUUCAACAACGGAUCUCUUGGUUCUA
rnacentral:misc_RNA from 1 species